AAUUUUUAAGUAAUUUAAUUAUUAAAAAAAUAACUGGAAAAUUUUGUUAUAGAUGACGUUAAAUUGUUAUUACCAUAAAUAAAUAAUUAUAUUGGUUUUAUCAUAAUAUUAGUUCCUAUUAAUCCUCAAAAUAAGCAAAUUUAUUUAUUUUUAUUCCUUACCCACAAUCCUUCUUUUACGCUCACGAUCUUUUUUUCCUAUUUUAUUUCCAAAAAAAUGUUUUUAGAAUAUCUUCAAGUUAGUUUUCGAAAUCUCAUAACUCGAUCUCAUUCAAUUCUCCACCUUUAAAUACUUUCUUAUUUUCUGUCAUUCUACCUCUCUUUUUUUCUUGACCAUCACUCAGUUUUUUUGUUCUUCUAUUUUCAGAAAUUUGUCAUGAACACUGCACUAAUGAUCAUUAGGACUCUGUGUUUUCCUACACAAUUUGGAGAAACAUAAACUAAAGAGCAAAAACUUAAGUGUGAUGAUGAUUCAAGAGAUCUCAAGUCAUAACCAAAGUAUGAUCUUGAUUCCACAAAUGGAAGAGAGAUGGCAUAGAAGAAGAAUUGAAGUUUCCAAGAAGAAAGAACAAUUAAUGGAAGGAACAAGUAUGGAACCAAAGGAAGAUGUGUUUAAACGUACAUGAAGUUUAGUU